GACGAACGCUGGCGGCGUGCUUAACACAUGCAAGUCGAACGGAAAGGCCCUGCUUUUGUGGGGUGCUCGAGUGGCGAAAGGGUGAGUAACAAGUGAGUAACCUGCCCUUGACUUUGGGAUAACUUCAGGAAACUGGGGCUAAUACCGGAUAGGAGCUCCUGCUGCAUGGUGGGGGUUGGAAAGUUUCGGCGGUUGGGGAUGGACUCGCGGCUUAUCAGCUUGUUGGUGGGGUAGUGGCUUACCAAGGCUUUGACGGGUAGCCGGCCUGAGAGGGUGACCGGCCACAGUGGGACUGAGAUACGGCCCAGACUCCUGCGGGAGGCAGCAGUGGGGAAUAUUGCACAAUGGGCGGAAGCCUGAUGCAGCAACGCCGCGUGCGGGAUGACGGCCUUCGGGUUGUAAACCGCUUUCGCCUGUGACGAAGCGUGAGUGACGGUAAUGGGUAAAGAAGCACCGGCUAACUACGUG
rnacentral:rRNA from 1 species